GGAAAAAAAAAAAAAAAAAGUACCGCGCGGCGUCUCUCACCGCCGUUACUAAAUUAGUGUGCCGAACAGCAAAAAAGUUCCUGUAUUCCCAGAUCGCGGUCGGGCAUUACAAUUUCCCAGAGAGGAGGGGGGCAAAAAAAAAAAAAAAAAAAAAUGCAGUGGCAGUCUUUCUGUAAGCAGGCAUUGAUAGCAACUGAUGACGGUCCUUGGAUAGUCAUGUGGAGGGAAGCAUGAAGACCUUAACAACAACUCCUGUUGCCCCACUGCUCUGUAUCAACAACCUUUAAAAGCAUUAUUUACCAGUGCGUUCUCUGUGCUGGAAACCUCAGGCUGACGUUUGGAGCAGAGGACCAGGGUGACCUGUUCGCUCCCUAGCACAGCGCCUGCCCGACUCAUACAGAAGAGGUUACCCCUUCUGAACACAGACAUUGUCCUAACCAACGGGUUGGACUUAGCUAUGCAGCUGCACUUUUCUAAGUAAACGGCUUCUGAAAAUAAGCACCUCAUUCCCAUUUUGUUCGCAUUUCCAUUUAUUUUACAAGGCAUCGUUCACACAAUGAUAACAAGGUACUGAUCCAAACAAUUCUGUAACAAUUAAAAAAGUAAACAUUUGUUGUGACCAUGUACAUUGAAUUGCACUUUUAAUAACAAGCAUUACACUUAUAUUUCCAUAUUAUACUUUAUAUAAUACAUGGAUUUGUUACAUAAGUACUGGCAGUACUGAAGUGUUCUCCGUUAGAAGUCUGAUAUAGCUAUGACGCUCUUUUUCCUAACUCUAGGAUUUGCGAACUUGGGACACACACAGAUAACAAAUGCAACUCCAAACCUGGAAAACUGCGUUGUGAUGGAGUCAGAGCUUUGAAGCUGCUCAGAAUCCACCUGGAAUGGCAGACACCGAGAGAGCCAGAUCAUGCUUGAUUAGACCCUUUUCUGCAUUCAUGUGCCAUCUUUUCCCAGUUCAGAGAAGUCAGAGAAUCUUCUUCCAUGGGAAAGCAACAGUUCCCAAAGCUCGAGGGAGCUCCUGGCACAGCUUUUGAAGGUGGUAGCAGCAGCAGCAGUGCAAACCGAGGGAUUACUGGAAGGAGAGGGAGUGGGCAUCUGGAGAAAAAUCUGAAAACAUCUGCUCUUGCGUGCAUUGGUAGUACCAUCCAUGUAUUAUAUAAAAUACAAAAAUAAGAGAAACUGAAAGGAAAUGAGUACAGCCUAGGAUUCUGGUGGUAUCAAAUCACAAAUGAAAUUUAUGAUACCAAAUCCUUGUGAUGUAUUUAUCCCCUUGUGAUUCAGUUUCCUAUAUAUUAUUCUAUAUAUAAGAUAUAGUCUUCCAAAGAUACAUAUAUAUUCCUUUACAGGUUAAAUAAAAGCAAGUCCCACUGAAUAAGAAAAUAAGAGGAAGUAAUGUCCUAAUUCUCUACCCAUAUCUUUUUUUUUUUUUCUUUUUCAGGUAAAAAUAGCAUGAAAUACAUUCAGUAGCAAAGCAGUUGGAAUCCAGGAGAAAUGGAGAGCCCUGUAUUCCUAGAGGAUUAACCUGUACGUGUUAAGUCACGAUCCUGAAAUAAAUUAUGUAGGCUUCUGACUUGGGAAAGAUAGGAUCUUGAUCCAUGCUAUUACUUAUCCAGUUGCAAAUUCGUUGAAUUUCCCCAAACCCAUCUAUGGAUUAGCUCAGUCUUAAAGACCGCUGUGAUGUGUACCUCACCAAACUGGAAAGGUCCAAACUUGAGUGCUUCACUGUGUCUCCUUAGUAUUAUUACUUGGAAGGAGGGAAUGGGAUGGCUCCCAGUAGGAUAUUAGCAUAAGAGAUGGGAAAAAUAACUGAGUUUAAGCCUUUGUGUCUGUGCGAACGACGUGAUGCCCGGCGCUGCGUGUGCUCGCCGCCCUGGGUAUGCUCAGCACUACGGGCCUGGUGCAGCCAGCGGUUUGCACAGCAGGCCCUCGGCCUCGAGAGAAGAAUCUCUGCCCUGAUCUUCACAUUCCCACAAUAACACUGUACUAAGGUUUUCUCUCUAGCAGUUGGAAGAAAACCAGCACUGUCAGGUAAGAGUGUUUCUGUUGUCAAUGCCAAAGGUAUUUAGGCUUAUUAGAUUAUGCAGAAGUAUGCCAGUUAUCCCUGAGUCUAACAGUAAAUCAAGAGGUAUAGUUCUCCCACACAUACAAGUAGUUUUCAUGGAUUUCACUGCAACUACUUAAUAGAAGGAAGGGAACAGCCCUACCUUUAUACUGCGGAGAAGGCGUGACUUAUGUAGCUUCCAUGUUUUGAUACUUCAGUUCCAGUAAAUGCAGAAUUUUAUUUACUCCUAAAUUGCCACAUUCAGUCAGUGAGUGACAUCGUGACUCUGAAGUCAAUGGCAUACUUCAUGCUUUGUCAAGGGGAUGAAUUCUCACUGUUCUUGACUUUCUAUCUCACUCUCCCCUUGUAAAUGGCUGUUUUUAUUUUGAGUUGUUUUUAACGCAAUGGCACAGUUGAAAGCAUCUAUCUUAAAAGAAAUUUCAAGGGCCAACCAAGAGAAAUCUUUCAAAAUGUCCUAACAAGGAAAAAGACAAAAAAAAUUGCUUACCUAUGUAAGCAAUGUAAUUUAGCUGUAGGAAAUGAUAUCCUAAUUAAAGGGCAGGACAAGUUUGUCAGCUGGCAGUACUGAUUACAUGGCUGACUACCUUUCCUGAGACUGGUUUUACUAAAUAUGAAUGCAUGUGGACUUGAGGGAUUUUGCAGUUUCUUGGAUUAACACCACACAUGGUAUUUUCUGUUGUACUGGUUUUAAUUUUCUCUGUGUACAUUUAGAAUUUGUUAAACUAAGUGAAGUCCUAUUACUUUAGAAUAUUAAGUUUGAUUCACAAAGAUAAUACAAGACUAGUUCACAGAUGUACCAUGUAACUAAAUCAGCCUUGCUUCAUUUAUCCUGUAAAGUGUUACAGUCAAAAGAAAAACAAAGUGAAAAAAAUUACUUCUCCCCACCACACACCCCCCCCCCAGUAGUGGGGAUCUCAGGAACAGAUUAGAAUCCAACAGGAAAAAGCACCUGUACUAAAAAUAUUCUUUGGAGGUUUGUCCCUAAUCAAAGUAAAGGCUUUAUUUCAGAACGGUGCAUUCUCAGUAAAAUUGAAAAGAUUUAGUUCCACAUAUAUAUUUAUAAAAUUCAAAUUACUUUUAAUAUAAGUUUGACGUGGACACAAUUUAAUACUGACUCCGGAAUAAAAUAUUAAUCGCUCCAGACUUAGGAGCUGUUAGCUGUUCCAGUGCCACAAGAAAAUAAGUUUCAGUGAGACUGAUGCUGUUUCCUGCUGAAAAGCUAAAUGACAAGCCAGCUAUCCCUGAUGGAUCAGUCAGUCUGGGAUACCUGUGCAUGUGGCUCUGUCACACGCUGCUGAAAGGGCUAAUUAAAACCCACGAUGAUUUUCUCACAGGAGGUGAGUUUCAUCAACAGCAGCGUACAGUCAGCAGGUAGAAUUUUAGCUUGCCUGGUUUAAUCCUGCAGUCUUGCUCUUUUCCUUGUUUCUGAAUAUAACUAUGCUUAUCAAGACAAUGCCACAGAGCUAUUCUCUUAUUUCAGUAUUUUUGAGAAGACACAGUUUCCACAUAAAUGUUACUCUUUCAAAUGCCAUUGCUACAAAUGCUACCUUGAGCCUACAGACUGAAGGUGACAAUUGUUUACUGCCUUUCUGUCAUUGCCAAGAGUGAUAAUGCAGCCACUGCCAUCUGAAACUUUUUUUUGCUGAAUGUAAGCCAGCUUCCAUCCUACAAGGUUUUGAAAUCAUCACGGCUAGCAGGUAACACAUAUGUUUUUGUCACAGAAACUCAACUUCUGAAGUCAGAGAGCUGCUAUACUGAGGAAGAUGUUGUUGUGUCAAAGCUAGUUCCACAAAAUAUAGUGAGUUUAUUUAACAGGUCUUUUUGGAUGAACUGGGGAAGUCCCACUCCCACAACCUGCUUGCACUCAUUGGACCCUCUGAGAUGAUUUAACUUACUAACUUGGCAAAAGACUAACCGGGGAGGGGGGGGGAGGGGGAAAUCCACCCAUAUCUUUUUCUUUGUUGUUUUUAAUUGUCUCCAGUAAGUGCCAUAACAAGAACAAAGGACAUGACUGUACAACAGGGAGUUGGAGGGGUGAAAUCUUUGAGCAGCAGUGAGCUGUUACAUUAACUCAGCUGCUCGGGGAAUCACAGUCCUAACAAUUUUUUUUUUUUUUUUUUUUAAUUAUUACUGCAUUUUUCCAAGCCAGGUUUUAAAUCCGCUUCUAAGUAUGAUUUAAGAUAAAUGAAAUGAGAAAUUUGGACACUUGUCAAACCAUCAGUGUCACUUAUCGGCACAGUACUCUCAAAUGUAACAAUCAUGUUCACUGGGUAUUCUUAAAUGUCACUGCAGAUUUCUUACGCAGUUCAUGUCGAGUGUGAAGUGGAACAGGUAAGUGAAUGACUAAUGCUAGGUUCAGAGUCAAGAGAAUGGAAACAUUUAUGCAAAUAUUAUUAGCAAUAAAGUGACCUGGGAAAAAGAUCUUUGUUAAUAUUUGCAAAAGAAAUUCCUUCUGCUUUUUCCCCCAUUUUUUCCUCACUGUAUUAAUAUUUCCAGACAAUCGCUGCUCUUGCAGGUACAUUUUAAAAUAUUAAAAUUUUGUAACCCCUUACUCUUCGAAGAAUUUCACUGGAGGCUAGUUGUAUCAGGAUAGUGAUUAUAUUUUGAUCUCUACUUCAAACAGCUGACUGCCUUUCAGAAUCAUUCCUUUGGCACAGGUAACAUUAAAUCUGUACUACCCUGUUUGAAAUAAUUCACAAUUAUGCUUGACAACAAAGCACAAGAUGGGUAUCAUUAAAUUUUAUUGUACAAAACUGACAAGAUAUGGCAUUCCUUAGAAUUAAAAAAAAAUCAAAACAGAACUAAUGUCCCUGGAACAAUUUUGUAAAUGGAACAAUUAAUACACAACCUUUAGUUCAACAGUGAUAUUUACCUGCAAGACCAUCUUUAGACAUGACAGUUAUAAUUAAAAAAAUAUUCCAUCAGUUCAAGCAAUAGUUUAAUUUUCCAUGAAAUAAGUAUUUCUAUAAACACUUUUAUGUUCAGCCAGAACAAAUGCUUUCGAAUUUUCUUACCUUAAGAGAUAUAAAACAACCAGACAGGUUUGGGAAUCAUCAGAGUAGUCUACCCCACGGGAAAGUCUAGGUUUUGUAUUCCACUUGAAAAUGUUUGUUUCUAUAAAAAUAAGUAAUACCAACAGUAGCGUUUCCUAACCAAAUACUUCUAGCAAAUAGAUCUUGUUUCUGUGAUGUUUUAUUCAUCAGUGCAGCACAAGCUUUUGGGGUUUUUUGUUUGAUACCUCAUUUCUGUGUCAAAUUCAGAACUCGACUAUAGACCCAGGGAAAGGCUUUAAUUACUUUUAUUCAUAAAACCUACCCUUUAUUGCACAGGAUUUACAAAAGGUCAAAACUAUGCAAGGUCUUCACUCUGCUUCUCAGCAAAAACGUCAAAUAAAUGUUGAACAGUUUUCCAGUUUAUCCCAGUGGAAGGAAUUAUUUCUUGGGAGUUCUUAGUAUAAACACGAAAUAAAAAAGGGAACUAGGCAACUUUAUGUUAAAUUCCAGUUCAGCUGACAAGAGCCUUUGAACAACAGUGCUACAAAGAACUGCACUAGUAUUUCUGAAGAAAAAACAAUCGAAACCAAGAAAUUGUCAGGGAAGCUCAUAAACAAUUGUGCCAAGAGAGCACAAGACUAUCUUUGCUAUGGCCUAAGCUUUACAAAAAGUGCUUCUCUGCAGGACGCAGUCACUGCGAUAAACUUCUGAGAUGGUCCCAGGGCGUAAGUUAUCCUAGACACCCGCACACACACUAGUACUUACUACACUGUGCUUUCUACGAAGAGAUUAUGCUUCAGUACUUUACAUUUUCCAUUCUCUCUCUUCCUCCAGAAGAAAAAAACCUUCUAUGCAAGAUAAAAAUAACUUUGAGUAAUUAGUCAUGUAUUAAAGACCUAGUUUUGUAGUAUUUAUUUAACAUCUAGUCAUAUAAAAUAAAGUGUAAAAGUAUGAAGGUAUCAGAACGUGGCUUUCAGCAAGGCAGUUUGGGAAGUAAGAAUUCAACAUAAAACAGGAAUAUUUUUUUUUUCCCCCCCUUUGCAAAGGUCACAUCAGAAUGAAUGAAAAACACCGAAGAAUUUCACUUCAAGCCUGCACUCCUGCCUUUUGUCCUUUCCCCGAGAGGACAGACCACUGGAAGAAGCCUCCAGGGUUUCAGGUUCCCCAGGCACCUGGAGUGGUGUAUGGUACCACCUUCUCCUUGCAGAUGAGGAGCGCAGUAGCACAAAGCUCUUUCCGGGCCAGUGAACUGAGGUGGGGUGUGGGAAAGCUUCGUGGAGCCACCCUCAUCUAUGGCAAGACUGCUCAAACGCAGGAGAGCACAGAAUGGGACUGACAAAGUGUCAGUGACUGUUCUUCUAGGGAUGAGAGACAGAAUCAUAUUCAAAAGAUGUCUGUGGGUCAGUGGACUUCAAGGAGUCCACAUCAAAUACACACCUUCACCUUCGGAAGAACGCAGCCAGGUGGGACAGAGAGGUGCCCUCCUCAAAUGGAUUUUAAGAGAGCAAAAAAUGUGCUGGCCUUCAGUCACAGAAUGACUGAGUAUCUUUCGUACCAAAAGAGACUGCAAAGGGAUCUGUGCGCUGUGGAAACUCGAGGGAGAAUACCACGUUCAUAAGGAAACUCAUAGGUGGAGGAACAAGAACCUACAUCCUGAAAUUUCAAAAAUGACCUGUGCUCACUUGGAAGGUAAGUUAUGUUCUAGGAGUGAAUAUAUAUCAGCACUUAAGACAGCAAAAAACUUCCAAGAGUUGCUCAGUGAUUGCCCUCCUACAAAAUGGGAUUUCUUUGCAUAAGCACAUUUUUUACCUGUCCUCACUUCCUCCUGCUCACCAGCUACACUGAUACUCUCUUCUUUCCAAACUCACCACCAUGAAACUGCAUUUUUUUUUUUUUCCGUUGCAAGAUUUUGCACGCUUGUCUUAAACAAAAAAGGCCAACUACAGCUCUAAGAGGAUGCUAAAAAAGGUCUUUUAUGUGUGGGAGCUUCCUCUGCGGCAGGAAACAGAACCUCUGCAAAUAGUCUCUCCUUAAUGUGACCCUGUUGUGCAAUUAGACUGACUAUGCACUGCCCUGUACAGGAAAGUAAGUUUGCUUCCUUUCCAAAAGAUCGUACUUCAAAUGACUUGUUUUGUUACAGAAACUGUAAGUAAUUUUUUUUUUUUUAACACAGUUAAAAUAACCACUGCUGGAAGAUGCAUAACUUUGGGGUUCUUUUUUAUUUUAAUUGCACUGGAUUCUGUUUGAGACUAAGAAUUUUUAAAAGUAAAAUUCUUCUGUAAGGAUAAUUUAAAGUGUAACACCAAAUUGCAGUCCAUAAUAAUAAUAGCUCCAGUGUGUCUUUAUUUCUAUAUUUUGUUCAGACCAUCUUAGAAACGGUGAUUUUUAUAGACACAGCUCUGCCAGCAAGCAGUUGUCAGAAGUGACUUGAGUUCACCUAAAAACUGGGACCAGACCAGGACGGCAUCGCUGCCAGGUGCUGCAGCACCACUACCUUCUCACAGGGAUGGUGCUUAGAGGGAAAAAAUCAGCAAAUUCUUAAGACUUCCACAACAAAACCCAGAAAGAAGUUUGCUUUAACGUUUUUGCUAUGCUUUUGCCGAAAGCUUCCGUGUCCGCAAAGCAAGCUGCACAACGUGAAGUUCGAAGUUCCUGCUUUGCAUUCGCAGACAAGUGGGUAAAGCAAGCUUCGUGGUUGGAAAUGCGCUAUCCUCCUCUUAAACUCGAAUUUGCAUGGCACGCUGUUAGUAAGUUAAAG